GAGCUUGGAGCCGCAGGGCUUAAUCCCGCGCGGCUCAGAGAUGGGUUUCUGGACUCGCGAAGCAGCUGCAACAAGGCAUCACUCACUGUAUAAGUAUUUCCAUUUCUGAGAGCAAAAGGAAGAACUUAAGCGGGCGGCACUUGGAGUGUAAAUUGCUUUGUAGUAUUUAAAGGCAGAAUGGAUCCUGGGCAGCCGAGCUGCAACAAACCGGCAGGACUUCCUGUGAAAUCAUGACCACCAUGUGCUCUUUCAGCCUCUAUCAGUUCCUACCUCUAAGCACCUGAGAGCCAAAGCAAACCACAGGAAACCACAGGCCUUUGGAGUCAGACUGGAACUACAGCAUUGACUCUUCCGGAACUCCAGCUUACUGACUACAGAUCUUGGAACUUUUCAGCUUCCACAACCAUAAUGAAAGCCAAGCAUAUUCCAUCAUUUCCUAAAACCAAGAUAGAGCACAUAUGGGAACUUGUGAAAUAAGGAUGCCCUGCGGUUGUUUUCAGGACUGAAGACAACAGCUCCACGAUGUAUCUUUGCAUAAGAAUACACUUGAAACCAAAGCACAAAGAGAGAAAGAAAAGAAAGAGAAAAAAGGAAGAAAGAAAAGAAAGAUGAAAGAAAGAAAGAGAAAGAAGAGAGAGGGAGAGAGAGAAAGAAAGAGAAGGAAAGAAAGAAGGAAGAAGAAAGAAAGAAAGAAAGAAAGAAAGAAAGAAAGAAAGAAAGAAAGAAAGAAAGAAAGAAAGAAAGAAAGAAAAAAGGAAGGAAGGAAAAGAAACACAUGGAAAGUGCUUCUUUGGACCUUUUAAGUUGCAUUAUCCCAUAAAAUGUGGUGGAUUCAAUGUUGUAUGGCCUGUAAAACUAAGUAAUGAAGGCUGAUAUGUACCCACCUGGCUCUGUCUUGGGAUCACACAACUUGGGAGCCAAAACAGAUUGCAAAUGAUGUUCAAAUCAAGGACUGGCUUAAGGGAGAAAAUCAAUUAUACUGUACAACUCACACUUAAGACCUCAGAGAGAUCUAAGAUGAUUCUUUAUAUAAUUUUUAAAACAAUCACCCCUCUAAGGAGCAUAACAAUGUGUUUUAAAUGUCCUCCCCAUUAUACAGUGAGACUUAUAAGAAUCUCAAGGAUGGUGUCCCAAGGCAAACUCAUGGCAAGAUCAAGAAAGAGAAUGGCCUGUCUUGACAAGAUUUGUGGUUUUGGCUUUCGUCUGAUGGAAUGAAUUGUACACAAAUACACAGAAAUCCCACAAAUAUUAAAAUAAUUGUAUCAACUUGUAAGAAAAAGGGAAAGAAAUAGCUUAAAAUGGAAUAUUGCUAAGCCCUCAAACCUUUACAAGCAGGAAAUAGGUGUAAACAGGCUUAGGAAAAUGGAAGGUGGACUCAGGGCAGAUUGAGGAGAUCUUGGAGUGCAGCAAAGAGCCAUAGAGAGCAAUUUCCAGGGAGUAGGACUGAACUCUAACCAAAUAAUUGGCAGCAUGUGCCUGGCAUUUCAGGAUUGACAUGGACCGGUGACUACUGUGUUCCUUCCCAUUCCCCACCCUUUUGUGUAGGAUUGUCUGUAGCAGUUUCCCAAUGCCUGUUCCUCCACUUGACGUUGGGUAUUUGGAGAACAAGAAAAAUUCUCUUUUUAGGUCAGAUGUGUGACAUGUAUCACAUUGUAAAAAAGAGUGCUCAAUGAGCUGUAUUUCAGGAAUUGCACUUAAGGGGAAUUAUUUUUACCUAUAUUGGAUUAAUAUGAUAAGAUUUUGAACUUUGAGCUUAUGUAAUUAUGAAGUGAGACCUUUAGUCUUGGGGAAUGACUGUAUUUUAUAUGCGAGAGGUAUAUAAAUCACUGUGGCCUGAAGAUAGACUGUGGCAGAUUGUAUUUUUCAAAGAUUUCCUGUCACACUUUUUUUUUAUUCUUUAUUUUUCUCUUUCUUUCUCUUUCCUCUUUCUCUUUCCCUUCCUCCCUUCCUUCCUUCUUUCCUUCCUUCCUUCCUUCCUUCCUUCCUUCCUUCCUUCCUUCCUUCCUUCUUUUCUUUCUUUCUUUCUGAGAGGGUCUCACUCUGUUUCCUGGCUAGAGUGGUGUCACAUUCAUAGCUCACUGUAGCUCAAACUCCUGAGUGCAAACAAUCCUCCUACAUCAGCCUCCCAAGUAGCUUGGACCACAGGUGUGCAUCCACUCCUGGCUAAUUUUUUAAUUUUAAUUUUUGUAGAGACGGGGUCUCACUUUGUUGCUCAGACUGAUCUUGAAUUCCUGGCUUCAAGAGAUCCUGCUGCCUCAACCUCUAAACUUGCUGGGAUUGCAGGUGUGAACCACCAUGCCCAGCUACUUUCUUUUUCUUACAAUAUGCCUUUGAUGCUCUUCCCAUCAAGAGGUAUUCCUUUCCCUUGAAUAUGGGCAAGGCUGUGAUUAUUAAUGCUAUAUGACUUUUGAGAGUAGGUCAUGAAGCAUGAUACAUUUUCCUAGUUCAUUUAGGAUGCUUGCUCUUAAUACCUAGCCCCUAUGCUUGUAUAAGUCCAAGAGACCUGUUGUGGGGAGGCUCACAUGAAGAAGAACGCAGGCACCUAGCCUACAGUCUGAUUGAGCUCUCAUCUGAUAACCCAUAAGAACUUGAGAGCCUUGUGAGUAAACCAUCUUGAAUCUUUCAGGACCCAGUUGAAACACUUCAGCUGAUGCUGCAUGGAUCAUUGCGGAUUUGUGAGCAAAAUAAAUUAAUAUAGCUUUUUGUUUUAAUUAAACAAUAUUUUUUGAGACAAGAUCUCAUUUUGUCACCCAGGUGGGAGUACAGUGGCACAUUCACAGAUCACUGUAGCCUCAAAUUCCUAAGCACAGGAGGUCCUCCCACCUCAGCCUCCCCAGUAGCUGAGACCACAGCAUGUGCCACUGUGUCUGGCUAAUUUUUUAUUUUUUUGUAGAAACGGAGUCUUGCUAUGUUGCCCAGGCUGGCCUCAUGUGAUCCACUUGCCUCAGUCUUCCAAAUUGUUGGGAUUACAAGUGUGAGGCACUGCACUGAGCCCAAUAUUCCUUUUUAAGCUACUAAGUUUUGGACUGAUUUGCUUCCCAGCAGUAUACGAUUGAUAAAACACAGAAUAUAGAAUAAAAUUAAUCUCUUAUGUUGUCCUAUGAGGCUUUGUGAGAUUUAGUUUCUACCAACACCCCAAAGUCAUGUCAUACCAUUUUUCACUGUGCUUACUUUGCUUCACUGACUUUUCUCCUGUUUUCUAAAACUAGCUAGUUCUUAUCUUCAGGCUUUGUCAUUGUCAUUCCCUGCUGAGAAUAUUGUCUGUCCAAAUCUUGUAAUUCAGACUCAAAAAUAGUCUGUGGCCACUCAAUCUAAAGUAACCCACCACAAACUCUAGCCCAUCUCCCUAUUUAUUUUCAUCAUGAUAUUUAUAUCUAUCUCAUCUAAAUUUUAUCUAUUUGUCAUCUAUCUAAUUGAAAUUUCAUGUUUCUUUACUACUAAUACGCAAGCUCUGUUAAGACAGAAGUAUUUAGUUUAAUUAGAUCCCAUUUGUCAAUUUUGGUUUUUGUUGCCAUUGCUCUUGGUGUUUUAGACAUGAAGUCUUUGCCCAUGCCUAUGUUCUGAAUGGUAUUGCCUAGGUUUUUGUCUAGGAUUUUUAUGGUUUUAGGUCUAACAUUUAAGUCUUUAAUCCAUCUUGAAUUAAUUUUUGUAUAAGGCGUAAGGAAGGGAUCCAGUUUCAGCUUUCUACAUAUGGCUAGUCAGUUUUCCCAGCACUAUUUCUUAAACAGGGAAUCCUUUCCCCGUUUCUUGUUUUUGUCAGGUUUGUCAAAGAUCAGAUAGUUGUAGAUAUGUGGCAUUAUUUCUGAGGGCUCUGUUCUAUUCCAUUGGCCUAUAUCUCUGUUAUAGGGACACUUUUACACUGUUGGUGGGACUGUAAACUAGUUCAACCACUGUAGAAGUCAGUGUGGCGAUUCCUCAGGGAUCUAGAACUAGAAAUACCAUUUGACCCAGCCAUCUCAUUACUGGGUACAUACCCAAAGGAUUAUAAACCAUGUUGCUAUAAAGACACAUGCACACGUAUGUUUAUUGUGGCACUAUUCAUAAUAGCAAAGACUUGGAACCAACCCAAAUGUCCAACAAUGAUAGACUGGAUUAAGAAAAUGUGGCACAUAUACACCAUGGAAUACUAUGCAGCCAUAAAAAAUGAUGAGUUCAUGUCCUUUGUAGAGACAUGGAUGAAGCUGGAAACCAUCAUUCUCAGCAAACUAUUGCAAGGACAAAAAACUGAACACCACAUGUUCUCACUUGUAGGUAGGAAUUGAACAAUGAGAACACAUGGACACAGGAAGGAGAACAUCACACACCGGGGCCUGUUGUGAGGUGGGGGGAGCGGGGAGGGAUAGCAUUUGGAGAUAUACCUAAUGUAAAUGACGAGUUAAUGGGUGCAGCACCCCAACAUGGCACAUGUAUACAUAUGUAACAAACCUGCACGUUGUGCACAUGUACCCUAGAACUUAAAGUAUAAUAAAAAAAAAAGAAAAAAAAGAAAGACAGAAGUAUUGUUCAUCUUGUUUUCUUCCCUAAUCACGUUACCUAGA
rnacentral:lncRNA from 1 species